CCACACUGGGACUGAGACACGGCCCAGACUCCUACGGGAGGCAGCAGUAGGGAAUCUUCGGCAAUGGACGAAAGUCUGACCGAGCAACGCCGCGUGAGUGAAGAAGGUUUUCGGAUCGUAAAGCUCUGUUGUAACUCAAGAACGUGUGUGAGAGUGGAAAGUUCACACAGUGACGGUAGCUUACCAGAAAGGGACGGCUAACUACGUGCCAGCAGCCGCGGUAAUACGUAGGUCCCGAGCGUUGUCCGGAUUUAUUGGGCGUAAAGGGAGCGCAGGCGGUCAGGAAAGUCUGGAGUAAAAGGCUAUGGCUCAACCAUAGUGUGCUCUGGAAACUGUCUGACUUGAGUGCAGAAGGGGAGAGUGGAAUUCCAUGUGUAGCGGUGAAAUGCGUAGAUAUAUGGAGGAACACCAGUGGCGAAAGCGGCUCUCUGGUCUGUCACUGACGCUGAGGCUCGAAAGCGUGGGUAGCGAACAGGAUUAGAUACCCUGGUAGUCCACGCCGUAAAC
rnacentral:rRNA from 1 species